UUCGACGGAGAGUUUGAUCCUGGCUCAGGACGAACGCUGGCGGCGGGCCUAACACAUGCAAGUCGAACGCACUCGACCUUCGGGUCACAUGAGUGAGUGGCGAACGGGUGAGUA
rnacentral:rRNA from 1 species